GCGACUCCCCGCCAGCUCCGCCAGUCUCCUCCAGCCCCGGCCCUCGGGCGCCUGAUCCAGGAGCUCGCUGAGCCUCCGCAGCAGCGGCUCCCGCAGGCGGUUGAGGGUCGCGCCGGCCGGAGGGGCGAGCAGCGGCCCCGUGGGGGCGGCCGAGGGCGGCAGGGCCUGUAGCGGGUCCCCCAACAGCGACAUGGCCCUCGCCGGCGACCCCGGACUGCCGGGGCUCCCGCCCGCCCCGUCACGGGCCUCGGCCCCGGGGCACCUUCCGCUCGCCUCCGAGCCGCGGAGGCAGGGGCGGAAGAACAAAUCUGGCAGCGCGGCACGGCCCUCAGAGGAGGAAGCUCCGCUCCCCGCCCCAAUUAGACAGGAAUCAUCUGGUUUACACCGCGUCAGACUGCCGCCCGCAAUCUCCGUCAUCAAAGCAGGCAACCCUGUAGAGGAUGCCUUUCCCUGGAAUGAUCCGGAAUGGACGACACCUGAGCUCUCUCUGCCAAUCUUAGCAACAUCCAAGGCCAUUAUCCCUUUGAAAACUAUGGCUUCGUUUGGGACAAAAAGGAAGUAACUUACGAAAUGUGACCAGUCAGGUAGUUCCCUACACGAGGCUUCCUGGCCCAAUUUCUGUUGCCAUUAGCUUUUCAUCACCCAAGGCCGCAGGAUUUUCUGACCAGUAAUUUGGAUACCUAUAUUCUUAUACAUGUUGGCGAGGUAGGUGCGCCAUACAGUCUCCACCACAUUCUAGCACAAGCAGUCAUUAAACUUCACUCUAGCAUAAGUUAAGAAUUCAGACUGCAGUGAGAUGGCUAAGAGCAUGAAAG
rnacentral:lncRNA from 1 species